rnacentral:rRNA from 1 species
CCUACGGGAGGCAGCAGUGGGGAAUAUUGGACAAUGGGGGCAACCCUGAUCCAGCAAUUCUGUGUGCACGAAGAAGGUUUUCGGAUUGUAAAGUGCUUUCAGCAGGGAAGAAGAAAGUGACGGUACCUGCAGAAGAAGCGACGGCUAAAUACGUGCCAGCAGCCGCGGUAAUACGUAUGUCGCGAGCGUUAUCCGGAAUUAUUGGGCAUAAAGGGCAUCUAGGCGGCCCUGUAAGUCUAGGGUGAAAACCUGCGGCUCAACCGCAGGCCUGCCCCGGAAACUACAGGGCUAGAGUGCUGGAGAGGUGGACGGAACUGCACGAGUAGAGGUGAAAUUCGUAGAUAUGUGCAGGAAUGCCGAUGAUGAAGAUAGUUCACUGGACGGCAACUGACGCUGAAGUGCGAAAGCUAGGGGAGCAAACAGGAUUAGAUACCCGGGUAGUC